GAUGAACGCUGGCGGCGUGCUUAACACAUGCAAGUCGAACGAUGAAGCCCAGCUUGCUGGGUGGAUUAGUGGCGAACGGGUGAGUAACACGUGAGUAACCUGCCCUUAACUCUGGGAUAAGCCUGGGAAACUGGGUCUAAUACCGGAUAGGAGCGCCUACCGCAUGGUGGGGGUUGGAAAGAUUUAUCGGUUUUGGAUGGACUCGCGGCCUAUCAGCUUGUUGGUGAGGGAAUGGCUCACCAAGGCGACGACGGGUAGCCGGCCUGAGAGGGUGACCGGCCACACUGGGACUGAGACACGGCCCAGACUCCUACGGGAGGCAGCAGUGGGGAAUAUUGCACAAUGGGCGAAAGCCUGAUGCAGCGACGCCGCGUGAGGGAUGACGGCCUUCGGGUUGUAAACCUCUUUCAGUAGGGAAGAAGCGAAAGUGACGGUACCUGCAGAAGAAGCACCGGCUAACUACGUG
rnacentral:rRNA from 1 species